GACGAACGCUGGCGGCGUGCUUAACACAUGCAAGUCGAACGGAAAGGCCCUGCUUUUGCUGGGUUCUCGUUUGGCGAACAGGUGAGUAACACGUGUGUAUCCUCCCCUUGUCUGUCGGAUAUCUCCUGGAAACUGGGGCUAUCACCCGGGAGGAUCUCCUGCUGCGUAUGGGUGGUUGGAAAGUGUCGGCGGUGCGGGCUGGACUCGCUGCUUACCAGCUGCUUUGUCGGGUAGUUGCUUACCAAGCCUUUGACGGGUAGCCGGCCUGGGAGGGUGAACAGCCACAUUGGGCCUGAGAUACGGCGCAGUCUCGUACGGGAGGCAGCAGUGGGGAAUAUUGCAGAAUGGGCGGAAGCCUGAUGCAGCAGCGCCGCGUGCGGGAUGACGGCCUUCGGGUUGUAAACAGCUUUCGCAUGUGACGAAGAGUGAGUGACGGUAAUGGGUAAAGAAGCCACGGCUAACUACGUG
rnacentral:rRNA from 1 species